GACGAACGCUGGCGGCGUGCUUAACACAUGCAAGUCGAGCGGAGCGGCGAACGGGUGAGUAACGCGUGAGUAACUUCCCCCCUCUCUGGGAUAACCGUUGGAAACUGCUGCUAAUACCUGAUAGUGGGGGAUGACUCGCGUCCUAUCAGCUUGUUGGUUGGGUAGUGGCCUACCAAGGCGACGACGGGUAGCCGGCCUGAGAGGGCGACCGGCCACAUUGGGCUGAGAGACGGCCCAAAAUCCUACGGGAGGAAGCAGUUGGGAAUAUUGCACAAGGGGGGAAACCCUGAUGCAGCAACGCGCGGGCGGGAUGACGGCCUUCGGGUUGUAAACCGCUUUCAGCCAUGACGCGGUAGUGGCAGAAGAAGCACCGACUAACUACGUGCCAGCCGCCGCGGUAAUUC
rnacentral:rRNA from 1 species